CGGCGGGCCUUUCAGGUCUCCCAGCCUUGUGAGGAGUUUCUUGAUCUUUUUUAGUUUUACUUCCCCUGCAGUUCUUUCUAGGCUCUUACCUUCUUAUCACUUUUUUGUUUUGCUGCGGUUUGCAUAGGAGCUCCUUCCAUCUCCUUCUGUCUCACUUGUGUGUUUAUCCGUUAAUCAACAAAAAACCACCCUUCUUCCUAUUUUUUCUCUUUGAAUUCUUAAGAGCUCUGGAAGUCAGAUUUAGGUCGGAAACCUGCUUCUACCCGAUACUACCUGGUGACCUGGCUAAUCGCUUCUCCAUGCCCUCAGUAUUUUCCUCUGUCCAGUCAGGGCUUGAAAACUGUAAAAGCCCCUGUGUCCUUGUGUUUUGAAGUAAAAGGCUUUUCCUUUAGCCUUCCAGGCCUCCCCUCAGUCUCAAAAGGCUGACUCAAGACCUAAUGAUUAGGAAACCCUGUUAUAGCUAAAAACUAGUUAAUAGCAGUCUAUUACGUUAUGCCCUGCCUUGGGCACACUAACUUACUCUGGCUUUUCACAAAUAAUUUUUCCUUGCUUGUUUUUUACUAAUGAUUACUUUCAUUAGAGUUAAAGUGCAUGCCUAGUGUUUUCGUUUCCUUUGAAACACUCCUUAAAACCUCCUUCUUUUGUGGGCAACUUUCACUGCCAAGAGAAAGUCCAGGUGCAAUAACCCCAAAGACCACCAGAACCCAUCACUGACCACCUGACUGUGGCCUUGAUGACUUUGAAAUAGUCUCGGUCUGUGCACAUGGGUCAGAAGAAGAAUUUCUGAACUCAUAUCAGAGUGAAAAGAAAGAAGAGUUUAUUGAGCAUGUAAUUUCUACUCUGAGGAAUUAUUUUGGGGAAGGAGAAGUGUACAAUCCUGGGAUGUCAUGACGCCUUGGCCAACAUCUGGGUAUCUGGGAAUCAUAUUGUGUUCCUUGUAUGUUUGCAUUUGUCUUAUGUGUACACAUAUGUGGCAGCUAUGGGAAACUCAGAUUUGUCUCCUGAAUGCAGCCCCUUGAGAUGCGGUCUCCAGAAUUGGACCACUUUUGGUUACAAGCCAAUGAUAGGAAUGCUUAUUGACAAGUUGUAACAUGUUUUUACUGUUCAGACAAAAUCCAGAACAGGGUAAGAGUGACUUUUCCUCUGCCAAAGGUGUCUUGGGUCAUUGGAUCAGGAAGAGACAUAGUAAAACUAUAAGCAGAAAAGGGGUUGGGGAUGGGGGGAAUCCCUGGGGAAAGAGAACCAGGUGCGGUUUUAUUGACAUAAGAGAAGCUGUUUUUGGACUAAGCCAUUUUGUGAUCAAAGCCUAGCGUUAAUGAUGGCCCUUGAACAGGUCUCAGUAAUCAAUAAUCUUAAGGGGAGAAUGCAGAAACAAAAACUAUCAUCAGGCAAGAGAAGUAACAGUAGCAAAGAUAACAUAUCAGUUUAAACUAUCCCAGUUCUAUUUCAAUGGUAAAGAUUAACUCAAGGCCUCAACCACCCAAUCAGCUGGAACCUGGGAUGAUGAUGCUGUUGACCUUUUCUGACCCUCAUGACUUCAAUCAAGUAAAACUUGGGCUCUGUCCACCACCUAGGCCCCUUCAUGAAUAUGCAUGUGCCCUUAGCUUAAACCUUCCCCAAUUUUGCUCCUUCUGGAGACACUGCUUUGGGGAAGAUCCCCAGUAUUCCUCUUACCUGCUGAAAAUCAUAAAUCUUUCCUUCUACCAAUCUCUGGGUUGGCCGUCUUUUGGCUCUAUGCCAAGAAGGGAACAUAAUUUUUUGGGUAAAAAAUUCACAAGAAGGGGGAAAAAAAGGAUUUAGCAAGAGCAGGCCUUAGAGGGUAAGGAUAGGGCAACUUUGUAUGAAAAACAGAACUGGUGGUAACUUGGAUGUCAUAAUGGUUCUGGCCACAUUCAGAGAAUAACUGUGUCUUUAACGGUCCUCCUUGGGAAAUCUACCAGCCAUUCCAACAGGUCAUAAGUGAGCAGAGAAGUCACACGAGGGUACGUGUAUCCCAAUAUACCCAUUCUGCUUUAUUUAGAAAGUUAGGGAUGGAAAGCAUGAGUAGAAUGGAGCUUAGUUGGGGCUGGAGUUAGGAACUGGAAGUUUCUAACUGAAGGGUGACCUUGGGCCAGACUAUGAGGGGUUGAGGAGAUACAUCGAGGAUGCUCCAGUGGCCCAAAACAAAAGCACACUCCAGGGAUCUAAAAUGAACAUUUUCCUGAAUGAGUUAACCUAUUCCCUAUAUUGAAAAAUGAGAAAUGAAACCAAAUUAAGCAUCUCAAAUCCUUUUAGAUUUAUUUUAUUAUAUGUGCAUAUUCAAACACAGAAGUCUUUCAUAAAUAUCUUUCAUAAACAUUUUAGUAUUUAUUCAUAUGCAUUUUUUCCAUGCUCUUUGGUCAUUCAGUAAUCAUAACAAACUUCAUAGUCAUCUGAGGGAAGUUGGCUGUGUAGUCAGUUUUUUGUUUUUACCUAUAAAAUGGCUAAGAAAGGAUUUUCAUCCUGUGGUCACAGUGAGUAUUGGAAAAUAUGGAGGUACAUGGAUCUGUGAUCCUAAAUGAUCCUACAAUAAGUAAAUUUUUCUUAACCUUUUCCAAAUACAUUAUGCCCUAAACAUGUUUUUAUUCUCCUGAGUGUCCAAACUUUGUUUCUGAAAUACUGCAGUUAGGACCCACAAAGUAAAUGAGGAAGUGACACUUUCUAUUCACUCCCAAGACAAGGCCAUGGAAUUAGAAGUGUGAAGUCACAGGGCAACAGCAUGAUGUGAUAGCAGCAAAUUCUGGAGACUAUUAAAGUCUCCUGUAUAACUUAAGAAAGGGUAUUUAAUGUCAAUUUUGGACUGUCAUUUAUGCCCCUUUCUUCCCUAUAGGUCCCUAUGUACAGUCUAUUCCCAUCUCAGAUACCCUCAGAGCUGGGCAGCAGAGUGGAGAAUGUUUUUACCAACUAAAGGGACGGGUACUAAAGAAGGAAGGAAAUAUCAUCCGGCCUAAGAUACUCUUUCUUGCUUGAAAUGGCAAACCAGCUACUCCCAGCCUGUGUGCAACAGACCCUAACCAGACCCCCAGACUCCACAGAUUCCCCCCACCCAGUACUGCCAUGCCCAUUUAUGGUUUUGACACUAUAGUUCCCAGUGCCUUGUCUCAAUGUAUUCAAUAGCUCCUUUUUAGGAAAAAAAAAAAAAAAAAAAAAAAAGCUUAUCUAAUAGAAUUAUAGAAAGCAGCAAAUAUU